rnacentral:tRNA from 1 species
GGAGGGAUAGCCAAGCGGACGAAGGCAACAGUCUUGAAAACUGUCGAGCCCUAUGGGUUCCGUGGGUUCGAAUCCCACUCCCUCCGCAA